rnacentral:rRNA from 1 species
UACAGAGACUGCAAGCGUUAUUCGGAUUCACUGGGCGUAAAGGGUGCGCAGGCGGCCGGGUGUGUCAGAUGUGAAAUCCCGAGGCUUAACCUCGGAACUGCGUCUGAAACUACUCGGCUAGAGUACUGGAGAGGGAAACGGAAUUCACGGUGUAGCAGUGAAAUGCGUAGAUAUCGUGAGGAACACCAGAGGCGAAGGCGGUUUCCUGGACAGUUACUGACGCUCAGGCACGAAAGCGUGGGGAGCAAACAGG